rnacentral:rRNA from 1 species
UACGUAGGGGGCAAGCGUUGUCCGGAUUUAUUGGGCGUAAAGAGCGUGUAGGCGGCUAGAUAGGUCCGUUGUGAAAACUCGAGGCUCAACCUCGAGACGUCGAUGGAAACCAUCUGGCUAGAGUCCGGAAGAGGAGAGUGGAAUUCCGGGUGUAGAGGUGAAAUUCGUAGAUAUUGGGAAGAACACCGGUGGCGAAGGCGGCGACCUGGUCCGAUACUGACGCUGAGGCGCGAAAGCGUGGGGAGCAAACAGG